rnacentral:lncRNA from 1 species
UGUGUCUGUAAUCAUGGAUUCAUUGGAGAUGGAACAAACUGUGAAGUUAAUGGAUGUAAAAGGUGUCACGCUGAUGCGACGUGUAGAAACAACAGGUGUGUCUGCAAUUAUGGAUUCAUUGGAGAUGGACAACACUGUGAAGUUGAUCAGUGUCAAAAAUGUAAUCGUUAUGCGACGUGUGUGAACAACAAGUGUAAUUGUAUUCGUGGAUACGUUGGAGAUGGAAUCAACUGUGAAGUUGAUCAGUGUCAAAAAUGUAAUCGUUUUGCGACAUGUGUGAACAACAAGUGUCAUUGUAUUCGUGGAUACGUUGGAGAUGGAAUCAACUGUGAAGGUAAUUGAGCAGC